GAGUCUGCAUCAGCUCCUGCCUCCAGGCUCCUGUCCUGGUCUCCUUCAGUAAUGGACUGUGUGCGGUGUGGGGUGAAGCUGUAAGCCCUAAUAAACCCCUUCCUCCCCAUGUUGAUUGGGUUAUGACGUUUUAUCAAAGCGAAAGAAAUCCUGACCAAGACACCAGGAGUAUUGUGAAGCUGAACUCCCUCAGGAAAUCUCAUGAUCGAUUCACUCUUCAUUCCACAGAAGGAGAUGGAUGUGGCCCCAUUAUGUCUGCCUAAAUGAACUCCAAGGGAAGCCCCAACCACAGAACUGAUUUCAUGUGUGACAUCUGGCAGUUUUCUGUUUCUAUUUCUCUGGUUCAAACAAGCUGCCAAGCCCAGUGACAGAAAUCUAAGUACUCGACACAAAAAAGGUGACGCUUUCACAAUGCCGUGCCCGUCUGUUGUUCCCUCCCUGUGACAACGAACAUACUCAAGUAGUAGAUGCAAGAUAAGCGGCUGCCUUGCACACGCCUCCCUGACCGUCAUGGACUGGAGUCCUCCAAACUGUGAGCCAAAAUCAACCUUUCCUCAACUAUGCUGCUUUCGUCAGUUCAUUUGUGAUAGCAACAACAAAAAUAACUAAUGUAGACUUCCAUGAUAUUUAAUGCAGUCAGAACAGGACUCUCUGACAUUCACAACCCAAAGAGUUAUCACAUGUCACUUGCUGAGGCUUGGUUUGCCGCUCUGAAUUGUAAUGCUAAGUUCUGUAUCCCAAGGUCUAGUAGCCCCAAGAGGAGUGAAUUAUCCUAUAUACCAGCUUUUGUUGUGCAAACCUUGCUCCUAAA
rnacentral:lncRNA from 1 species